GUGCUCUGCUUUUGCCAGGAUUUACAUCAAUGGAUCACGCAGCAUCCUUUUAGUUUUUUCAAAUGCUUUUCCUGUCUAUUGUGUUAAGAUCAUGUUUGGAAGGGCACCUCCUGAGCUCCUUCCCUGCAGCAAUACUGUAGCGGAGUUGGGAGAAGCCCCAAAUAUGCAGCUCCUCCUUUUUCCAGUUCAUUUUUGCUGGAGCCAGAGACAUUUUUCUCCCAGCCACAGCAUGCUACAGACAAACAGCGUUGCACAGUGCUUUAGGAACCAGAGCCGGAGCCCCUUGGAACAGCACCAAACAGG
rnacentral:misc_RNA from 1 species